GGCCCGUUAGCCCAGUGGUCUAAGGCUCCGGCUUGUCUCGCCGGGAAUCGUGGAUUCGAAUCCCACACGGGUCGCCA
rnacentral:tRNA from 1 species